GACGAACGCUGGCGGCGUGCUUAACACAUGCAAGUCGAACGGAAAGGCCCUGCUUUUGUGGGGUGCUCGAGUGGCGAACGGGUGAGUAACACGGGAGUAACCUGCCCUUGACUUUGGGAUAACUUCAGGAAACUGGGGCUAAUACCGGACAGGAGCUCCUGCUGCAUGGUGGGGGUUGGAAAGUUUCGGCGGUUGGGGAUGGACUGGCGGCAUAUCAGCUUGUUGGUGGGGUAGUGGCUUACCAAGGCUUUGACGGGUAGCCGGCCUGAGAGGGGGACCGGCCACAUCGGGAUGGGGAUACGGCACAGACCCCUACGGGAGGCAGCAGUGGGGAAUAUUGCACAAUGGGCGGAAGCCUGAUGUAGCAACGCCGCGUGGGGGAUGACGGCCUUCGGGUUGUAAACCGCUUUCGCAUGUGACGAAGCGUGAGUGACGGUAAUGGGUAAAGAAGCACCGGCUAACUACGUG
rnacentral:rRNA from 1 species